rnacentral:lncRNA from 1 species
AAGAUUUAGAGAAUCUAACUAAUUAGGAAGUAAAUUAUACUAAGAUUCAAAAGCAGUUAGGUCUCCUACAAAUAAAGCAAGCAAUUAAAUCUACUUUAAAAGUAGUAAAUUAUUUUAAAUUAUAAAAAAUAGUAAAUCACUAUUUUAUAGAAAGCAAAAUUUUUUUUUAAGUAAUCUAACUAGAAAGCAGUAAAACUACCACAUAUGAAAAGCAAUAAGGC